GCAGGGGUAGCCAAGUCCGGUAAGGCAGUCGGCUGCAGACCGACGAUUCGGGGGUUCAAAUCCCUCCCCCUGCU
rnacentral:tRNA from 1 species